rnacentral:rRNA from 1 species
GACAGAGGGUGCAAACGUUGUUCGGAAUUACUGGGCGUAAAGCGCGUGUAGGCGGCUACGUAAGUCGGGCGUGAAAUCCCACGGCUCAACUGUGGAAGAGCACUCGAAACUGUGUAGCUAGAGUCCUGGAGAGGAAAGUGGAAUACUUGGUGUAGAGGUGAAAUUCGUAGAUAUCAGGUGGAACACCAGUGGCGAAGGCGGCCUUCUGGACGGUAACUGACGCUGAGACGCGGAAGCGUGGGGAGCAAACAGG